rnacentral:rRNA from 1 species
GACGAACGCUGGCGGCGUGCCUAAUACAUGCAAGUCGUACGCAAAACUUUCACCGAGUGCUUGCACUCACCGAAAGUUUUGAGUGGCGAACGGGUGAGUAACACGUGGGUAACCUGCCCAGAAGAAGGGGAUAACACUUGGAAACAGGUGCUAAUACCGUAUAACAACAAAGACCGCAUGGUCUUUGUUUAAAAGAUGGUUCUGCUAUCACUUCUGGAUGGACCCGCGGCGUAUUAGCUAGUUGGUGAGGUAAUGGCUCACCAAGGCAAUGAUACGUAGCCGAACUGAGAGGUUGAUCGGCCACAUUGGGACUGAGACACGGCCCAAACUCCUACGGGAGGCAGCAGUAGGGAAUCUUCCACAAUGGACGAAAGUCUGAUGGAGCAACGCCGCGUGAGUGAAGAAGGUUUUCGGAUCGUAAAACUCUGUUGUUAGAGAAGAACGUGUGUGAGAGUAACUGUUCAUGCAGUGACGGUAUCUAACCAGAAAGCCACGGCUAACUACGUGCCAGCCGCCGCCGUAACAC